ACAGCCCCAACAUCACGUAUCAGUUAUUACAAACAUCAAUUAUUAAGAUUUAUAAGUUAUUUCGUUUGGAAGUGAAUUGGAUGAGAUCGGCGCCUUGCAGUGUGAAUGUGUAGAAUAAAUGAAUAACCAAGCAACGAGGAAGAGUGGAAGCCAGUUCUUCAGCGUGUAUGACUCUAACGCGAGAAUGAUGUAGAGCUCGUGGUCGUAAACACGAGAAAUGAGAGCUUUUCACCGAGAAAAACACGAUCACAUCGCCCUAUACGUGGUUGCUGUACAGCGUUAUUAUGAACGAUUGCACUCGUGUGUGGCGCAGACGGUUUAAUCGUAGCCACCUCCUUCAGAGCGUACGUGUGCAUGCAGCUACGUAGCCCGGCACCUAUAUACUCAGUGGAAGAGUUUUCCAUGUCAAGGGAUGAUAGGACGCGUGCGCGAGGAAAUCAUGAAUGGAGCCCACCGCUCAAUGCGAGGGGAGUCCAGCUACACAAUCACAAUCAUACAUCCACUCUACUUUUAUUUAUAUCCCUCCAACGGCGACCUUCAACCAAGGUAGGAUUGAUCAGAUAAAUCAGGUUCUCCAUUCUGCGGAGAAACAGGUGUCAUCUCCGAUUCUUCACGAUUUUUAUACAACGAUUGUUCUCGUCAAAUGACACAAACCGAUGAUCAAUUAUGACCCUGAAGUUGGUGACGCUGGGUCCAUGUGGACAUUCUAUUUGUACAAGGCAAUCUAUGAUCUCUGUUAUGAAUCAUGCUUGCUAGAGCUAUUUGUAAUAGGUAUAAUUUUCGGUCCCUCU